rnacentral:misc_RNA from 1 species
AAAUGCGAUAAUUAGUGUGAAUUGCAGAAUUCAGUGAAUCAUCGAAUCUUUGAACGCACAUUGCGCCCUUUGGUAUUCCUUAGGGCAUGCCUGUUCGAGCGUCAUCUAAACCUUCAAGCCCUGCUUGGUGUUGGGUGCCUGUCCCGCCUCCGCGCGCGGACUCACCUCAAAUCCAUUGGCGGCCCCCGCGUCGGCCACGAGCGCAGCAGAAACGCGAACUCGUGAGCCCGUCCGGGCGGCUCCCAGAAGCUACACCCACCCAGUUUGACCUCGGAUCAGGUAGGGAUACCCGCUGAACUUAAG